rnacentral:rRNA from 1 species
AGUGAACGCUGGCGGUAGGCCUAACACAUGCAAGUCGAACGGCAGCACAGUAAGAGCUUGCUCUUACGGGUGGCGAGUGGCGGACGGGUGAGGAAUACAUCGGAAUCUACUUUUUCGUGGGGGAUAACGUAGGGAAACUUACGCUAAUACCGCAUACGACCUACGGGUGAAAGCAGGGGAUCUUCGGACCUUGCGCGAUUGAAUGAGCCGAUGUCGGAUUAGCUAGUUGGCGGGGUAAAGGCCCACCAAGGCGACGAUCCGUAGCUGGUAUGAGAGGAUGAUUAGCCACACUGGAACUGAGACACGGUCCAGACUCCUACGGGAGGCAGCAGUGGGGAAUAUUGGACAAUGGGCGCAAGCCUGAUCCAGCCAUACCGCGUGGGUGAAGAAGGCCUUCGGGUUGUAAAGCCCUUUUGUUGGGAAAGAAAAGCAGCAGGUUAAUACCCCGCUGUUCUGACGGUACCCAAAGAAUAAGCACCGGCUAACUUCGUG